rnacentral:rRNA from 1 species
GACGAACGCUGGCGGCGUGCUUAACACAUGCAAGUCGAACGGAAAGGCCCUGCUUUUGUGGGGUGCUCGAGUGGCGAACGGGUGAGUAACACGUGAGUAACCUGCCCUUGACUUUGGGAUAACUUCAGGAAACUGGGGCUAAUACCGGAUAGGAGCUCCUGCCACAUGGUGGGGGUUGGAAAGUUUCGGCGGUUGGGGAUGGACUCGCGGCUUAUCAGCUUGUUGGUGGGGUAGUGGCUUACCAAGGCUUUGACGGGUAGCCGGCCUGAGAGGGUGACCGGCCACAUUGGGACUGAGAUACGGCCCAGACUCCUACGGGAGGCAGCAGUGGGGAAUAUUGCACAAUGGGCGGAAGCCUGAUGCAGCAACGCCGCGUGCGGGAUGACGGCCUUCGGGUUGUAAACCGCUUUCGCCUGUGACGAAGCGUGAGUGACGGUAAUGGGUAAAGAAGCACCGGCUAACUACGUG